GAGAUACCCAGUGCUUAAUAAAGAAGCUGUCAUGUCUCAUGGAGCUUGACUUAGGAUACACUUUCAUAUAAUAAACCCUUCAACAAAAUCCUUGAAGUAAAAUUCACUUCAUCUAAUGAAAAUAUUAUUAGCCUCCGAAAUGACCAAGACGGUUCAGAAAGGUAGUCAUUAGGUUGCUGAGAUUUCAUCAAUAAAGGCGAGGCUAUGGGUAGAAAGGGACCUUGUAGAACAUAUCACAGGGCUUCGUGGAAGUUCUUUGUUGCGUAUGUAUGCUCCAUGGCCCCUGGGAGGGCCCCAAGUAACAAUCUAGACCAAGGAUUGAAAAGUUUUUAUGUAAAAGACCAGAUGGUAAAUAUUUUCGGCUUUUCAGGCCAUAUGAUCUAUUGCAACUUUGUACAAAGGCAGCCAUAGGCAAUAUAUAAAUUAAUGUCUAUGUCUGUUUUCCCAUAAAACUUUACUUACAAAAACAGGUAGUGGCCAGAUUUGGCCUACAGGCUGGAGUUUUCUAACAGCUGGUCUAAGCAGUCAGGAAGUCUGUGAAGAUUUGGGGCGUGUAGCUUUAAGCAAUAGGUCUGGCUUCUGAGCAGGGUGAAACACUUUUUAAAUAAUUUGCAAUUGUAAUCUGUCCAGCCUGGUUAAGAAUUAAGUAUGUGACAACCGGUGGCCUUAUGUGACAACUGGUGACAGUCAAGAGGAGACCUCUUGUUCCUAGAGGAACAAGACUGACCACAGAAAAGCCUUGUCUGCUCUCAGACAAAUUCAGUGCUUUUUUCAGCCACCAACCAACUCUAUAAUGCUUGGAGAACUAAAGGCAAGAAGAUGAAAUUAAGUCAAUUACUUAAGAAGCACUGAACUCAAAGCAAGGAGACCUGAGGUCCAGUCCCAGCCUUGCUACUUACUAUCUGUAUGAGUCAGUUAUUUUAUGACUGUGAUCAAGUUUUCCCCAGCUAAGAAAUAAGGGAUUCUGGUGUUUCUCCAAGUGUCAUCUGAAUCAGAAUCAUUUAGGUUACUUAUCCAAAAGGCAGAUUUCUGGGCACCACCCUAGACCUCUAUUGAAUUAUAAUCUCCGAGGUUUGGGGCCUGGUAAUAUGUAUGAACAGCAUGAGCUCUGGGGAUUUUAAAAUCCAGUAAAGUUUCAGACCCACUGGACAAGAAAGACACUCUUCUAGCACACCUUCCAGCCCAACGUUCUGGCCUCUCUGAAAUGUAGUUAAAGUAUACCAUCUUCUGUUGUUCUCAGGAAGAAAUGCCUGUUAACUAUACAAUACACAUGGAAUUAAUUGGAGCCUUGCGGAAUUUUGGAAAGAAUAACCAGCCUCAUCUAUAUCUCUACUUGGAGAAAUGGCUUCUUGGCCUGGGCUAAUGGUGUUACUUGACAAUCAGAAGGGGAAAAAGUCAUAACUUCACUCCCUUUUCCUCAGGCCAAAAUGCGAAUUUGAAACUCAUUCCGAAUGCCUUUCCAGGGAGGUGGCCACAGCUGAUGAAAGACCUCACGCUUGUUCCAACAGGCCCUGGGAGCUGAAUUGUAUCCCUGAAACUGGCCUAGCUUCCUUCAGCUCAACAGAGCAGCUGAAAGACUUUUGAGUUUGCCACAUCUGCGUCACAACUUAAUUCUUGAAAAGGCCGUAUAAAAUGCUGCUUCCUCAGGAUGCCUGCUCUUUAUCAGCAUCCCUGUCUCCAUGGUGAUAGCCUUCUUGCCGUAAUCAGAGGGAUGACCUACUUAACCAUGGAAAUAUUGGCUUCAUUCGAGUUAACUUUGCUGGUAAUAUGCACGUAUGUGUUUAAUUCCAUUUUUGAUCCAAACUGCCACAAUUGUAUCUGUCUAUAGUAGGUUCUCUAAGAAGAAUGUAAAAUCCGUUUUUGUCUUGCUUGCCCGAAAGUGUUAUCAUUUUAAUUUCAUCAAAGUAUCCCUGGUCUUCAGGGAUUCAGAAUUGGAGCAAUUCUUGGUUAUACCUCAUCAUUUUACAGAUGUCUCUUUUAUAACAGUCUUCUCAUCUUUGGCAGAGGUUUCACAACUUUCUCCAACCUUCGGGAUGGAAAUUUAGACAAAUUUCCUACAAACUCUUAGGAGCUACAUGGCUUAAGAGAAAGGCUGAAUGUGAAAAUGUUUCUGAUGCCUCGCUUAGAGUUUCCAAUUCCCUCUUGGAAUCUUUGUGCAAAUGACCCAGGAAAGGCAUGCUUUUCUUUAACAUGAAAAAUGAUCUUUCUGGUUUUGAGAAACUUUAUUUAUUUUGACUUUUAUUUUAAAAUUUAGAUAUUAGGAUAACAUAUAAAAAUUCUUUCAUUGCAGGUACACGAGUUCAAUGUCUCAAAAAAAGAAUCCCUGUUUGUAAUCCUAUUCUUUUCUUACAGCCAGUGUUCCAUCUUCAUGACCCUGUUUCUAGCCUCUAUCCAAACAUCAGCUGUUCUGUUUGUGUGUGUAUGUGUGUGUGGGUUUCAUUUGCACUAUACUUCAAUAUAAAAAUUAUGUGAUCAUAAUGUUAUCAUGAAAUAAUAUAUUAAUUUAAAUACCACUAACUUGGAAUUUAUGCUCUUUGAUACGUGAGUUGCAAUUCUUAUUUGAAAUUAUAAAGGUAAAAGAGAGUGAGGUAUUAAAAUUAUAAUAAGUUUCAAAAUAUUUUUAAAAACUUUAUCAUCAAUCCUUUGACUACAAAAACAUGUAAGUAACAGAUGAUUCUUAUCAAUUUAUGAAAACUAUUUUUAAAAUCUUCUGAGCAUUAGUCUGUAAGUUGACACAUUGAAUUAUUGUUAUAUUAUGCCAAAACAUAAAACUGGGUGCCUAUGUAAUACAAAUCACACUGUAAGAAGUAGCUUUCCCUCAAGUUCUGAAUUAAUGAAGUUUACACAUGAGCUUUUCUAGUAGUUUUUGAAAAUUUGAUUCAAAAAAUAUUUAGCAGAUACAGGUUUUAUGCUAUUGUUCAUACGUUUAUAUGCAAUCUAAGUAAGCUGCAACAUAGAUUCAUACUACAUAUUUAUAAACUGAUAAAAUCUAUUUGAGCUUUACAAUCUAUUGAUAUAACCUAGUCUAACCCAGGGCUUCUCAACCUCGGUGGUAUGGACAUGGUGGUCUGGAUAAUCUUUUCUGUUGAUGGGGCUGUCCCGUGCAUUGCAGGAUGUUUAGCAACAUCUCUGACCUGUACACACAAAUUGCUAGUACCAACUCCACCCGCUCUGUGACAACCGAAAAUUUCUCCAGACAGGACCAAAUGUCUCCUGGUGGAAAAAUAUCCCCUAGUUAAGAGACAUAGGGCUAUUCAAUAAAUGGGGCUCACAAAGCAUUUCUUUAUUUUAAAAAAAAUUAACUGUUUAGUCUAACUCAUUAGCUCAGCUGUUUAGAGUGCAGUACUAAUGAGUUCAAGGUCAGAAGAUUGAUCCUUAUGAGGCUUAACACAUUCAUUCAACCGGCACUGAAUUGAGUGGUCUGCAAUUGCUUUGCACCAUGCAAGGUCCAGAGAGAGAUGCCAGAAAAACAUAAAAAAGCAGCCAGCGCUCUCCAGGAGUUUGUGAUCCUACAUGGUGAAUGAAAAACAAAACCAAACAAAGGCCAAAUUAAUGGUAGAGUCAGUCAGAGGAUGAUUGGUGUGACAGCAGGGAUAGAGAAAAGCUGUGUAAACACUGAAGCAUGAAAAGGAUGUGGUCCGGCAGAGAAGAAACAGGGUUGGCUCCUUCCAGAAAGGACAAUUAUUUAUAGUAAAAAUUUAGUGUUCGCUAAGCAGCAGGCUAAAUACUUUGUUAUAUCCUAGAAAUGUUCUAUAUAUGACAGAAGUUAAGUUCUGUCACUAGAAUCUUGUCACUAGAAUCUGUCACAGACCUUGGCUACUUGAAAGAUUUAAACCCUCCCUUUGCCUAUUUCACUGGAUGGCCAAGAUACUUAUCCUCUUUGCAUAUUCAUUCUCUAUGUAUCAAAUAGCAAUAAAUAUAAGAUACAGCAGUUUUUUGGCCAAAAACAGACAAUAAAUGAAAACCAAUUAGUAUAGUCCCUAUACAAAUAAUAAAUAAUAGUGAGUAUGUUUUAGUCUCCUUAUUUAUAUUAUUGUUUUUCAUUUAUGUGGGCAUUUAAACCCAGGCCUGUCUGCCUUUGAGCUGUUCCCUCUAUGAUUUGCUAUCUUCCUAGAGUGUGGGGGUCCCUGGUGGAAUGCAGUGGGAGCUCUGUGACCUCCCUGGUGAAAGACAGUGGGCUAUAUAAUAAGGAGCUUGCACUAUUCACCAGCAACAGGAGCUACUUUGGGAUUUGGAGCAUUGCUCACCUAAGACCGAAGAAAAAGCCAGUGUAGCUGGAUACAACAAAAGAAAGAAAGGAAAUGUGGAAUUCCUCAUCUGAAGGGGAAAACGUAGCAGGAACCAAAUCUGGCACACUUUCCUAGGUGACAAUAAAGAACUUGAAUUUUAUCUUGAGGUCAAUGGGAUGCUAUGGAAGGAUUUCCAACAGAGCAGUGUCAAAAUCAAAUUUGCCCUCUGAAAAGAUCACCCUAGCUAUUUGAAGGACAGAGAAUAAAUUGGAUUAUGACAAGCCUAGAAACAGCAAAGUCAAUGGAAAGGCUAAGUGACAAAUAAUAGUGGCCUGGGCUUGGCUGGUAAUAGAAAGUAGAAACAAGUAGAUGACAUUUGAAGUAGAUGGAAGCAAAAGAAGAUGCUUCUGUUGCUAGAAUUGAUAGGAAGUUGUAUUCGCCUGUUUUCAAACUGCUAUAAAGAACUACCUGAGACCGGGCAAUUUAUGAAGAUAGGAGGUUUAAUUAACUCAUAAUUCUGCAGGCUGUACAGGAAGCAUGGUUGGGGAGGCCUCAGGAAAAUUACAAU
rnacentral:lncRNA from 1 species